UACGUAGGCAGCGAGCGUUGUUCGGAGUUACUGGGCGUAAAGGGUGUGUAGGCGGUUCUUUAAGUUUAGUGUGAAAUCUCCCGGCUCAACCGGGAGGGUGCGCUGAAUACUGAGGGACUAGAGUACGGGAGAGGAAAGUGGAAUUUCUGGUGUAGCGGUGAAAUGCGUAGAUAUCAGGAGGAACACCGGUGGUGUAGACGGCUUUCUGGACCGUAACUGACGCUGAGACACGAAAGCGUGGGUAGCAAACAGG
rnacentral:rRNA from 1 species